rnacentral:rRNA from 1 species
AUUGAACGCUGGCGGCAUGCUUUACACAUGCAAGUCGAACGGUAACAGGCCUUCGGGUGCUGACGAGUGGCGAACGGGUGAGUAAUGCAUCGGAACGUACCCAGAGGUGGGGGAUAACGCAGCGAAAGCUGUGCUAAUACCGCAUGUGAUCUGAGGAUGAAAGCGGGGGACCGAGCAGCAAUGUUUGGCCUCGCGCCUUUGGAGCGGCCGAUGUCGGAUUAGCUAGUUGGUGGGGUAAAGGCCUACCAAGGCGACGAUCCGUAGCUGGUCUGAGAGGACGGUCGGCCACACUGAGACUGAGACACGGCCCAGACUCCUACGGGAGGCAGCAGUGGGGAAUUGUGGACAGUGGGCGCAAGCCUGAUCCAGCAAGGCCGCGUGCGGGAAGAAGGCCUUCGGGUUGUAAACCGCUUUUUGCAGGAACGAAACGGUGUCCGCUAAUACCGGGCGCUAAUGACGGUACCGGCAGAAGAAGCACCGGCUAACUACGUG